GAUGAACGCUGGCGGCGUGCUUAACACAUGCAAGUCGAACGGAAAGGCUCCUGCUUGCAGGGGUACUCGAGUGGCGAACGGGUGAGUAACACGUGGGUGAUCUGCCCUGUACUUCGGGAUAAGCUUGGGAAACUGGGUCUAAUACCGGAUAGGACAACUUUUUGGAUAUUGUUGUGGAAAGCUUUUGCGGUAUGGGAUGAGCUCGCGGCCUAUCAGCUUGUUGGUGGGGUAAUGGCCUACCAAGGCGUCGACGGGUAGCCGGCCUGAGAGGGUGUACGGCCACAUUGGGACUGAGAUACGGCCCAGACUCCUACGGGAGGCAGCAGUGGGGAAUAUUGAACAAUGGGCGCAAGCCUGAUGCAGCGACGCCGCGUGGGGGAUGAAGGCCUUCGGGUUGUAAACUCCUUUCGCUAGGGACGAAGCUUUUUUGUGACGGUACCUGGAGAAGAAGCACCGGCUAACUACGUG
rnacentral:rRNA from 1 species